UUCGUUAUAAGCAUGCAUUAUAUCCGAAAACAUUCUCAGUAUAGUUGUGUAUUGUAAGAAUUUAAUUCGCACAUAAACGGGUCCAUCUCUCGCGCUUUCCAACGUCAGUUCAUCAACACGCGCCACAUCUUUACCCAAAUCUAUUCCCAGCAACCAGAAGUCAGGUUAUGUUGACAUCAACAAACAUUUAAAAAUUUAAAAAAAAAAAAUGGAGCCGCUGAGAAUAUUUGAAAAAUUUAAACUAGACAACCUAGACAAGUCUUGGAUAGACUCAGUUUGGAACAACGAGUUUAUCAUCAUAAAUAAAAUACCAGGUGAUUAUAUUUUAUUUGCAGAAAGCGAAGACAUGGAGAUAUUGCUAAAAGAAACCUGUAACGUCGUUAAAAACUGGAUUGACGUGAACAAGAACGAUGAUGCUGACAGGUCAGAGGUGUCUUGGCAAACCCUCUGCGCACUGAACGUCGACCAACGCGCACUUUUAGCUCUCCUCGGCUAUUUAAUUAAAACAGGACAGGGUAUGGAUGCUGACGAAGACUCACGUCAAGCUUGUCUCCAUGCUACAAGUCUCUACCUGACACUUCUAGCUAUUCCCGGUAGCAGCGCGUACCAAAUAUUCCACGAAAACUUAUACUACAGUGUCAUAAAAUCACUGGAAUUAUCCCAGCACCUGAUGCCGGUGAUUAAGAAGUCUGUUAAAAAUUUAGACCUCGAGAGCUUGUACAUAAAAUACGAGGAGCCGUCGAGUCUUCUGCAAACUGAGAAGAUAACUCUCACUAAAAGCCUCAACGUCAUCAUGUACAACAUGAUCCUGAUGCUGAAUUCCUGGCAUAUGCGCGAGUACGUCCGGUCACUUGAGCAGACAGUUUAUUCUUUGAUCGAAGUAACGAAGCUCGGCACCGACGUCCAUGACUUCAAGUCACCCAAGAAAUUAUCUGAAGGCUCAUUGGCUUCUCUUGUCCACAACGCCUACGCCGCACUGGGACAGCUGUGUGACGUAAGACAUGGACCAGUUGAACUGACCAUCAAGCUGAUAGCGAAAAAUAUACUGCCCCAUAUGCUGUAUAAUUAUACAAGUAUUCCAUUGAAGUCACUGACUGUAGUCCGCGACACGACGAUACAUUUUUUGAAAACGCUGCUGCUGAGCCAUGAAAAAAAUUCCGAGACCGGCAUCAUGAUCCUGAUUCAACAUCUCAUGGUUAAUUGUCCGGAGAGACUCGAGGCGAGACAGAAGCAAGCGAGUGUUAUUGUAAAAUUGAUAAACAUUUGCCAGGACAAUCUCUACGGUAAGAUAAUAAAAGACCUGGUUUCAUUUUCCCACAACAAUAAAAUACCCUGCAGAAUUUUCGCGCAGGAAAUAAUCGGAAAAUUUUUGUUGGAGAGCACGAGAGAUGAAGACCGCGCUGCUCUGACAAUUAAAUAUAAAUGUAUUUUAUUUGCUGGUGUUCUAAGUCGGUGCACUGACGUGUCGAGUAUGGUAAGAGGGAGAGCCAUGGCGACACUCGUCGAGUACACGGACACCAGCGACAAUCCAUUUGUCAUGGAGAUCUUCAGUUACUCUGAGUCCGAACGUCCGUUGCCGACACUACAAACUCUCAUUAACGCGUUUUCUGAUGACGUCACUGAUAGUAUUUUACCAGACGCAAAUACUUUGAUAUCGAUGCUAAAAAGUCGAGCUGAAGAUGAACGCGCGCUGGUGCGCCGCAGCUCGAUGCAAAUUUUCCAAAACGCGGUUCUAAAUGUCCCCGAAUUACUGGACGAGGUCGUCCCGGUUAUCAGCAAUCACUGUCGCGACCCUGCGAUGAUCGUCCGUAAGUUCGCGAUCCAGGUCCUGACGACUCUAUUGGAAUCUUAUCCAAACCAUCCGAGUUUGUAUAAAACUUGGGUCAAGUCAGUGGUACCUCAGAUAUUUGACAUCGAAAUAAAAGUACAGGAGAAAGUACUCGAGACAAUGGAAGGUUUGAUCAUCGACCGGAUUGACAAGUCGUUCAAAAAAAAUGACACGCUGCCUUGGAAAAUUUUGAAUGAACUGACGUUUAUGAAAAUGCGUAAGCAUCUGACGCGCGCUUGCGACGCCUGGAUCCACAGCGACAUCAUCACCAAUUCUACAGUAAUUAAAAUUCAGUCUUACAUUAAUACCGAGCACAAUAUUCCUGCUUGGAUUAUUUUAUCAGCAAUUGCUGAGAACAAAACAGUACCAAAUAUGAAACAGUACUUCAAUAAUUACAAUGACAUAAUAAAAGGCGACAGUUUUUUAGAAUUUUUAUCACUCGAAGUCUUGCGUUGCUGCUGGUCGACAUUCGACGACGACUUUUUAUACAAACUAUCAACCGACAUUUAUAAAUCACUCAUAGAAUUGACAGUCAAUCCCGUGCUGAUAAGUCUCUCCCUCGAUAUACUCAGUGGUAUCGCAAAACAUUUGAAUUUAAACUUCGAAUCCCAGAUGAUUGACCUGAUGCGCGGGUCAGAAAAAAUAAUCGAGCAGAUAAUCGACAGCGACAUUGAUCAUAAAAUAAAUAUCGAUAAUUAUACAAAAGCCAUUUGUACACUAGGUCAUGCCUCGUUAUUCAGUACAAGUAAAAUACGUCUGUCAGUGCUGCGUAUUUUGCAGGGAAUGCUGAUUGACUGGGAGACGAUGCCACUGACAAUUAAAGACUCGCGUGAAUUACAGGCCACGGCAAUUGUUGCCUUGGGACAGCAGGCAAUGAGAGAAGAGAAAAUAGCCCACGAGAUGAUGCCGAUAUUCGGACAAUUACUGAGCUCCGGUGUCGAUAUUUCAAUUGAUUCCCAAUACAACUGCGAUGUUGAUGCCGCUGUGCGUGUCAAUGCCGCCAAAGCACUUGCUGAUGUGUGCACACGUUUUACAGCACUUGUAGAACCAUAUUUACCUGACAUGUGCGUCAGCAUGAAAGGCAACAAUGCAACAGUCCGCGAGGCCAUCGUCGUUAUUUUUAUCCAGUUACUCGUCGAGGACUACAUCAAAGUAAAGGGGACAUUUUUCUUCCACAUCCUCACGAUGUUGUCUGACCCAGAUGACACGAUCCGUGAAAUGACCAUUUUUCUUAUCAAAGAAAGAUUGCUGGUAAAAAACAAAACGCUGAUAUCCCAACAAUUUUUAGAGAGUAUUUUUCAUUACAAUGACUACGAAUUAGAUGACAAAUAUUUUGACAGAAAGAUGGGGGCUGGGGAAAAAAAAGCGCUGACGUUACCUGGUGAUAGGAAUUUUGCAAAACGAUUUAUUAUUUAUGAUUUCAUGCUAGAGCAUCUUGACCCGCCUGGUAAAUUAAAACUGUUGGUUAGAUUGACAACGCAGGUUCUUCAUCGUGGACUGAGUGAUAAAAUAAAUUUGAAUAAUGAAAAAGGAUGCUGUGUUUUGAAAGAUACCUUUUAUAUUAUUGCUAAUGAUAAUUUGCAGGCAUCAUCUUGUACUAGUAAACAUACUGAUGAUGAUGCUGAUGAUGCUGGGGUAAAUAGUACUGGUACUGGUACUGGUACUGGGACUGGGACUGGGACAGGAUCUGGUACUGGUACGAGUAGUAACGCAGGUCAUGUUAUUGCUGAAGGAAUUAAAAAACAUGGACUGAAUCAUUUACUGCCGACAUUGAUGAAGUUGAAGAAGAAAUUGAUUGGUUGUGGGUCUAAAUUAACUGAAGAUAUUUCGAAAGCUAUUGCGCGAAUUGGUGUGGAGUUUAGUAAAGAACAAUUGACUACUUUGUACAAUGAGUGCCCGGAAAUAGAAAAAGAAAUGGAGUUUGACAUACGGAAAUAUGGUAAGAAAGGAACGGAUGAGACUUCGCAGGAUUCAAAUUCCCCGCCAGGAAUUAUUCACCCGUUGUUGAAUAACAAUAGAAUUCCACGGGUUGUUAUUGAAAAGUUAACGACUUUGAGUUGCAAUGAUGAAGAGACGGAAAAUAUUAUUGUGGAAAAAAUAAAUUCCUCGAAUAUUGCGGACGGUAAAAGGACAGGCGGUUUAGUUAACGAGUCACUUAAUUCACUUGUGGAUGAACCUGAGUCUAGUAAAUAGCUGAGAAAGCUGUGAUAAGAUUUAAAAAAAUGAAAGGUAAAGGUACAAAUAAAAUUAACAAAAAUAUAUGUAAGAAGUUAUCUCGUAAGAAUUGAAAUUUUAAAUAAAUUAUAAUUGAUAUUGAAUUAAAUAAAAAAAAUUAUUAAAAAAUUUCAAGUUUUCUAAAAAUUUAUUUAAAAUAAUUAUGGUAAUAAGAAUUAAAUAUAUGAGGGAAUGAUUCAAAAUGUAUGUUAUUUUUAAAUACAUUAAUAUAUUUAUUAGGGGUAUGCGAAUAGUGCUCGAAUCGAAUCGAAUAAUGGUAUUCGAUUUGAAUAUCGAAUCAAAUAUUCGAACUAUUGGAAUGUUUUUUAAAUAUAGAAAAAAUAUUAAAUUAAAAAUUAAAAUUUUUCUUUAAAAUUCGAAAAAUCUCAAUAACAAAUUUGCGUUUUUUUCUGUUUACUUUCCCAGUGAAACUAUCAGACUUAUCACAAAAGGUCAUUAGAUUUUUUUUAUAGAUAAUUUUAUUUCUAAGAAAUUAUCUUUUAUGACGAAUUUUAAAUUUUAAGUUUCCGCAUUCUAGUUUUUACAUUUUCUAUUUCAAGUCUAAAAAAUUAUCCUUCUUAUGAUGAUCUUUAGUUAUUUUGUACAACGCAAUCACAUUAAUAACACGAGUAUACAUAAAUAAAUAUAGUGGGGACAAUUAAUAUAAAUUGCCAAUUAAAUUAUUACUAAUCCAUAAAGUAAUUGGUCAAAGUAUCGAUAGCUUCUGAAUAAAUCUGAAGAUUUACUCAACUACUAUAAGAAAUGUUCAACAUGAAGAUAUUUUUGUUGGCAGUUUUGCUAGUGGCUUUGUUUGCUGCCGAAACUUAUGCAUGCCGUCCACCCGGCACUUCGUGUUCGUCAAAAGGUGAGAAG